rnacentral:rRNA from 1 species
AGUGAACGCUGGCGGUAGGCCUAACACAUGCAAGUCGAACGGCAGCACAGUAAGAGCUUGCUCUUACGGGUGGCGAGUGGCGGACGGGUGAGGAAUACAUCGGAAUCUACUUUUUCGUGGGGGAUAACGUAGGGAAACUUACGCUAAUACCGCAUACGACCUACGGGUGAAAGCAGGGGACCUUCGGGCCUUGCGCGAUUGAAUGAGCCGAUGUCGGAUUAGCUAGUUGGCGGGGUAAAGGCCCACCAAGGCGACGAUCCGUAGCUGGUCUGAGAGGAUGUUCAGCCACACUGGAACUGAGACACGGUCCAGACUCCUACGGGAGGCAGCAGUGGGGAAUAUUGGACAAUGGGCGCAAGCCUGAUCCAGCCAUACCGCGUGGGUGAAGAAGGCCUUCGGGUUGUAAAGCCCUUUUGUUGGGAAAGAAAUCCAGCCGGCUAAUACCUGGUUGGGAUGACGGUACCCAAAGAAUAAGCACCGGCUAACUUCGUGCCAGCAGCCGCAGUAAGAC